UAUCUAAAUAAAACUUAAGCAUGGAUAUGAUAAAUAGUUGCUCUGCCUAAUUUGCACAUUUUAAGUUCUCUCUCAAGUUUAGACAUAACUGUUAUAAUUUAAGGCUUGCUCUAGACCUAAACUUGUGGGAUGAAAAUUUGAUCUGAAGUCUAAGUUGUUAACGGAUAUGAUAUGGGAAGGUUGAGCUGUUGUUUAUCUGUUCCUAGAGAUGCUAGAAUUCUGGAGAAUUUUAUCUUUGAAAAUCUUUAAAAUAUUGUAUGAUGAGUUCCUGUAUGAUGAGAGUUUAAAUUCCUACCACAACCACAUAUACAUGCUUGCUAGACUUUGAGCCACACAUUUACUAUUUACUGCUUAUGAGCAUUGAGUGUAGUCAAGCUGUGUAGACCCUUAGGAGCUUGUCAUGUGGUUAAAUCAAGAUUUCACUUGCACGUCCACUCAUAUAUGCUACUUCUACUUCGGAAGUACCAUCCACAUAUAUCCACCCAUUCCAUCUCCAGAAUCACCCAAAAAUAUUCUACUCCUAAUCCGGGAGAGAGUAACCAAAAAUAUUUUUGUUUUCCCCUUGUGAAAUAAAUGCUCAAGUUAUCUUGUUACUACCACUUGCUAUAUUAUCUCAAGAGAUGAAUGCUCUAAAAAAAGAGAGAAAAAGAAAAAGAUACGAGGAAAUAAAAAGGAGCAAGUGCUCGGAACCUCGAAAAAAAAUAUAGAGCAUCUCAUUCUCCUCAUAAAAUUUCAAAAGCAAGAAAGGUAUGUAUCCCCUCAAAGAGCAAAGUAGAAUUAGACUUCCACCACCAUUGUUUCACCAUUGUCAUCACCAUACAUCAUUCAUUCGCCACACAUGCACAUCUUGAUUAAACUUAUUGACUUGUUACUUUGGAUCCAUGGUUUGACUAUGCAAUAAAUGUCUUAUAAGUAUGUAUACUUUAUCUCCCACCUAUGAGCUCCAGAUAUUAAAGCCUUAUUAGAGUAGGGUGAGAGAGAAGGCAAUGUCACUAUGCCUUAUACCACAAAUACUACAUAUCUUGAGAGAAGGCAUAUACCAUCAAUGCCUUGGUAAGGAUCCAAAAAUGCCACAAAAGAGAGACCUGAGAGAAUCAUAUAAGGAAUUUCUGAGUUUUAUUUGAAAAUCUGCAAAAACCUAGAGCUAUAGUUGAUCAAGAAUAAGAGACAUGACACUUGGCUAGACUGUUCUAUCUUUUAACCACUCAAGACAGAAGUGACAGUUACAAGUCCCAUGGUAAAGGUAAAGUAAGUAAGUUUUAAGUCUUGACAGUUUACUCUAACUCAAAGAUGAGAUCUUAUUUAAAAGCAUGUGUACCGUCAAUUUUUAAAUAUAUUGCAACAACUUAUGAUCCAUAGCUGAGUCUAUCCUUGCUCAGGGACGAGCAAGAAGUAAGCUUGGGGGAGUUUGUCGACGGUCCUUAAGUAUCAAAUUUAAUUAUCAAAUAAAUAAAGAAAAGGAUCCAAAUGAAAUCAAGAUCUAGACUUAGGGUUUCAUCUGAUAGAAUUCCACGAGUUUUGGUGUUUGUCUAUUUCUGCAGGGGGUUAUCAGGAAAUAUGAAAGAAAGGCCCACAUGUCGGGAUUACGUAAAGAUAUUAACGUGCUGCGCAAUUAUCUUACAUCUAGAAGACUCCAGAAGCCACGAGACCGAAGCGGAGGCGAAACAGGGCCAGAGGCAGGGCGCCCGCCCUCCUGCCCUGGGCGCCCGCCCACCUCCUGUGUCCAAUCAGGACUCUACUUUGCGGGAGAUCUCCACCGACCUAAAGGAUGAAUCUAAACCAUACAAUCUAUGUCGGUUUGAUCCAAGGGCCCAUAUUCACUUGGAGGGACUAUAAAACCAGACCCCCUGGCCCCUGGAGGAGAGAGCCUCUCAACCCUAAUUCAUUGUUCCAUCAAGGGAGAAGAAGCCUCUGAUCAAGAUUAGAGCCACCACAUCAAUUAGACAUCUAGAUUAGCAUAGCUACAUAGGAUUAGAACUAGAAGGAGUCAAUCUUCGAUUGGUUUCCGGAUCUGUCAGGAGGAUUCUUGGUAAUUCUCUAAUUGUGCUUCUAAUUGCUUUCUAAUUAUCUUUGUUCUUCAAUAUUAUGAAUAUGACUUUGUUAUACUUUAAUAUAUUGCUUAUGACUUUGCUCUACUUGCUUAUAUUCAAGAUUAUAUUGUUCUUAGUUUAUCAUAGUUAUGUACUUGGCUUAGUUAGAUUCGAUCUAUAUACAUGCUUAGGAUCGUAUAGCGUUUAUCCAUCGGAUCCAUGGGUAAAUGAUAGAUAUUGUGUAGGCGUGGUGCUUAUACCAUAUUUAUCUGCGAUUGUACCCAAUAUGCCAGAUCGUGGGGUGGUUCGUGAUAGUGACAACUUCAUUGAUUCUUAUAUAGUCCCCCUCUCGUGUAUUGGGCUGGCAGAGCAACAUUAUUACAGGGGAGUGAUUGCUAUGUUUCUCAUAUUCCUUGCUAAUAUCACUAUGCAUGGGCGUAGUCUUGUCUCACAAUGAUUGCUAAGUAUGCUUGCACUAACUAUGAUAAUGCUAGACUAUAUAGUUAAGAAUAACUUAGGGAAUAUUCUUGUAGUUCGUUCUAAUACCAUGCUAAUGACUCUCUAGAGUAUCUAAUUGAGGUGCUUAUCAUAUUUAUUAUGUGGCUAGAUCAGAUUAGUUAUCCUUGUCACUAUUAUUAUUUCAUAUAUCUUUUAUGUGACACUUAUCCCUGUAUGAUGAGUUAGAUAUAAUGUUCUCAAUUAUACAUGCAAUGAUAGAUGCUCAAUCUCAUAUUCUAUUCUGUAAUCAAUAGUGAUGAUUGCUACUCCCUUCCCAGUGGUAAAAAUAUAAAUAACGAUACCUGGAAUACUUCCCGGUUAAAAUGCUGCAUCGGUAUUAAUCUGUGCGCUUGCAGAUCCCAUUCAUUAUUUAUUUAGAAGAGCAAUUGCAUAUUUCCAUACCACGUCUCUUAUAUCAUGAUGGGGAUGACAACUUGGCUUAAGUGGUGUGAGGGAUAGGUUUGGCAUUUUUGGCACCCUUACUAGAUUUAGAGAACUUAGUCUACUUUUGGUAAUGAUGUUAAGAAUACCCAACAAUCAUACUCACCCAUAAGCAUCAUACCAUGAUCACAUGUCAUUUUGUGUGUACCCUAUUUGAGUUGAUUGCUUAUAUUGCUUGUUAUGUGUAUAAGUAAUGUAUGACCAAUGUAUACAAGUGCACAUUGUCUUCCAAAAAUACUUUAUUCAUGCUUAGAAUAUCAUUUGGAACAAUGUUCAUGUUGGAGGUUUCUACCAAAAAUGCCCCUAAGUCAUGGUUAACCCUAGGUUGACCUAGUUUGACCCACAAAUCUCUUUUCAAAGGUCCUUUAUGAAAACAGUGUUAGAGACCUUGCAUGUAAAUGGCAUCUAAAGCAAAGUUGUAGUAAAUGUUAUAAGCUACAAAAGUUGUUUUGAUACAUUUUCAUGAAAAUGCUUGGAACAUACGCAAACUUUUCUCACAAGGCAAAAAUAGGGUCUGCUUUUCCACUUAGCCAAAUUUGCCUAAGUUAGAAUCGACAUAGUUUCAAGGUAGGUCUCUUGGGAGCCUUGUAGUUUGAAUUCUAGACCAAACCAGACCUUGAUGCUUAAAGCAAACAUGUAGAACUCGUGUAGCUCUAUCCAUUGGGACAAAUAUGAGCAAAAACCACCAAGUGAAUCGUGAGUAAAACGUCGAUGAAGAUCGGGUUUCAGUCGGCCAUUGGAGCCCUGAUCAACGUGAUUCGGUUUGGACAGAGCGUCGCCCGCCGCCACGUGUUGAGCUAGCUGUCGGCCGUACGUCGCUGACGGUCCCUCCUGUCAGCCCCAACGACGUCCUCAAGUUGCCAUGCACCCCCUAAAUGCCUCAGACGCACCCUUCGUCCACCCAGCGCACCCUAUUUCCCUCCGCCAUCGUCCUCGGCGAGCUCCGACGCGUUUCGGGGAGCUUCCCCGCCCACACCACCGCGUCCCAACUCGAGCUGCUCGGUUCAGAGCUCCACCAUGACGUCAUCUACCUCGUCGUCCACUCCAUUGCCACAACUGAGCUCAGGUGAGGCGGCAUUGCCGAGCCCCGCACGGUUUCCACCUCGUCGGAGUUCGCAGAGAUCACCAGCAACGUGGCUAGACCUCUCUGGUCCACCUCUAGCCGUGAUUCUUAUUCCUACAACUUUCUCUUGCUUCACUCUUGCUCGUCGUGAACCGCUACUGGGUCGCCAUGGCCCAUGUUCGCCGGCGUAUCACCACGCAGCACCGCCGCUCCGCCAUUCCCGAUGGCGAGCACCCUAUGAGCCAGUAGAGCGCGAGCCAAGUAGGUCAAUAGGUCCGCCUCGAAGUGAGGAACACGACAGUGCCCUCGGUUUCCCCAGAGACCUCGCCGUCGUUGAGAUCUUCGGCGACCGAGCUCGCCUCUGUCCUUUGUGUUACUGACGUGUGGGACCCUUCUGUCAGCCUCUCUCCCUCUCUCCCCCUAUUUCUGUUUUUGGCAGAUUUCAAUGCUAUGCUGUAAAAAUCAUAUCUCGAGUUUGGCAAGUCCAAUUUGUAUGUUUCAAAUUUUUUCAUACUCCUGAGUAGAUCUAGUUUUUAAUAAAAAUAUGAGACAUGCCAUGUUUUUGCAGAAAUAAAUAGUUAUGAUUUAUCUCUUUUAAUCCCUAAUAAAAAGAGGGCAAUUAUAUCUGUAGACCUGUAAUCCUAUGACCAUGCAAAUUUAGGAGGUUGUUACUUAUGUCAUGAAUAGGCUUUGAUAAAUUUCUCAUGAUUUUUGGAUGCCUUAUGAUGAAGUUAUAAAUACCCCUUAUUUAAAUAGGAGGUUAUUGUGGUAUUUUGAAUAAAUAGGUUAGAACUCCUUUUGUGAUGAAACUUGCUGGGUGAUGCAAACUCAUGAAGCUAAAGCCAAGAAAAAUCUGAAAUCUGUUAUUUGACACUUUUUGACAGAGUUUCACAUAUAUGCCUUUAAUGCCUUUGGUAGCUUGUCAUUUUUGUGCCCUACAAUCUACAUGCUCAAUGGCCUUGAAAAGUUUACAGUAACCAUGUUGUAGCAUGAGUAGCUUACUGUAAUUUUGCUAGAAUGUUUGGAGCACUGGUACUAUAUGCUCAUUAAUUCACCUUAAUAACCAAAUAAAUAGAAAAGGGGAUAUUCAAAAUAAGUUUUUACCUUGCCAUGAUGUUUUAUAAAGUUUCUUAGACAUGUUCUAACUACUGGUACUUUUGGUUGGACCAAUGUUACUUUCUUACUAUGUGCUAAAAUAUUAUUUUGCUAUUUAUGCCUUGUCUAGAGCAUAUUCUGUGUAGCUGAUAGAAGUUCCUUAAAAACUGCUUGGAGAUGUAGUUUGCUGGGAAACUUAUCUAUAACAAACUUGUAGCUAACUUACUUAUCUACCUUGUAUCCAAUGUUCAUAGCAUCUGGCUGAGUGAUUUAAAAGUUAUGGCUGUUGCAAGUAGCUGCUACGAAGUGAUUGUUCUCUGGAUUUUCCAGAGCAGACCUGAAACUUUGUCUGUUUUGACCUGUUUCUGUUGGGAAUCAUGCUGUGAUAUCUAAAAGUAAAUUGUAGACAAUUUGUUAAGAUUUCCAGAAAGUGCUCACUUACUUAAUUUGACCAAUAGAUGACUAAGUUAUGGCUGAAACUUAUGACCACCCAAUCUGUCCCUCAACCCAGUUGCUGUGUAUAAGUAGUUAAGGUUGAAUAGCUUGUAUUGUUAGCCUCUCUACCGGAUAAGAAGUAUGCACUUACCUAUUAAUCUGUUGCUUACUCAAUUUUAGAAGCUUGUGAUCAUGUUUGCACCGUGUUACCUGUUUCUUUGCUCUUCAUCAUGACAUAUUGCAUCCUAUGUGCAUUCCCUAUGUUUAUCACCUUGUCAUGCAUACUUAGGUGCAACCAAAAGCGUGACGGUCUUGGAGUUCGCCCCACCCGAGCCGGAGGAGCAGCAGUCGGAGCAACCUCAAGAGGAAGGAGCUAAGGAGGAGGAUUUGCCGGAGUGCCCUGACCACCGUCCUUCUACGUACAUUGAAGGCAAGCCGCGGAGUAUUAUAAGCAUCCUAUACUAUUUUUGUUAUCAUGCUCAAGAGUCAAUUAACUAUAGUUAUGUAUUGAUGCAUUAAGUGUUAGGUGUUGAUAUGACACCCUUUGAUGAGGACAUCACCACGCUGGAUACGUUGACACCAUCGUCUUUUCCAAGUUGCAAUUCAUCUCCAAUUCAGCUACCACGUCACUCUCGGAUUCAGCGAACACGUCGUCAGUGUUUUGGUCAUAACUUCUUCAUACUACAUCAAAAUAGGGUGAUCUUGGACUCGUUGGAAAGGGGACGACGAUGCCGUCAUUUUGGAUCUGGUCCCAGCUCCAGAUCUUUCAUGGAUUAAUCUUUAUGUCCACGACAAGGUGUUGCGUCACCUAUUUUGGGCCAACUUGGUCAUGUAUCAAAUUUGGGUCUUAAGCCCAUGUUGUGGGUGCCUCCCCCUGGUUGCCUCCAACCCUAGGUCACUUGUCCUUUAUAUUCCAUGCAGCCGCCGCUGUUUAGACUUGGGUUUUGUUUAGAGUUUAGUUUUCCAUCAAGAAACUGAAUGGUUCAUUGUAACUGUGGUGACAAAUCCUUUUACAGUGAUCCAGAGCUCCCGUUCUUGAUCUCCUCCACUGUGUCGAUCAGUCCUUUGGAACCGAGUUCUUGAACCCUCAUUUGAAUAUUCGCGUCAUUCAUAUCUACAAUUUCAGAUUGCAUGUUUAUACUUUCUUGCUUGUGUUCUUUGAUUCACUUGCAGGAACAGCCUUCGUGGCGAGGUCAAUCAAGUUGUGCUUGGUUGAUAACCAACGGAGCAGUGGUGUGAUGGUUGCAGGGUUCGAAUCGUGCUGAUUUGAAGACGGAUCACCAACGUCGAGUUCUCCACAAUCGAAUUUACCAAUUACAUCUCAGAAGAUCGGGCCUGACCCUCAUCAACAGGUAUCAGAUAUCUAUCUCAGGUUUACUGUGAGGUAUAAUCUCAUUUUCCCUAGAUUCAUAUUUGUUCAUUACCUACAAUCCAUAAAUAGCCCAAAAAAAUAGUUUAAUUUUCCACUGUCCUAUCACCCAUUGUGCCUUGCAAUUUCGUUUUCAGAUUUGCUUUGUUGAGUUUGUGUCCGUGGUUGAGUCUAGUUGCUGGUUUUGAUUGUGUUUGUCGUCGUAUUUCAUUUGCACCGAUGUUGUUCUUAGUAUUCGCUGCUAUCGUAUCCACUGUUUCCAAACAACAAGUCGAAGCCACCACAUUACUCGACUUGCCUCCGCUAGCCGCCUUGUGUGAUCCCUCGCCGCUGCUCUAACCCUAUAUAGGUUGCCAGCCGUUGUUAUUUUGCCUGCUUCACAGCCCUCCUUACAUCAUCAGGCGAAUACCUACUGCUAUUAGUGAAAGGAUCAAGAUGUCCAAGAGGGGGGGUGAAUUGGGCUUCUCUAAAAAUUUAAGCAACCUAUAAGCUCCAAUUCAACCCCUUGUGCCUAGUGUGAUCUAGAGAGCUACCGGAUAAAGAGUUUUGCAACCUAGUUUCAAUCCUAUUCUAGCAUGGCAAUUCUAAGAAUGUAAAAGCUCAAAAUAAUUGCACAAAGUAAAUGAUAGAAAGUAACGGAGGAGAGCAAGAAAGGCGCGGCGAUGUUUGCCGAGGUAUCGGAGAGUCGCCACUCCCCACUAGUCCUCGUUGGAGCACCCGCGCAAGGGUCUUGCUCCCCCUUGGUCCGCGCAAGGACCAAGUGCUCUCUAUGGGCUGAUUCUUCGACACUCCGUCGUGGUGAAUCGCCCACAGCCGCUCAUAAGUUUGACACGAGCCACCCACAAGAACUCCAGGCAAUCUUCGUGCCUCUAAUCACCACCGAACCGUCUAGGUGAUGGCGAUCACCAAGAGUAACAAGCAAUGAACUCUCACUUGACCCAAUCAAGGCACUAGAGAGUGGUGGAUGCACACUUGACUCUUGAAACUCAACUAGAGAAGGAUUCAAUCAAGAAAUCUCUCAAUUCUCAAUCCUCUCUAGGCUCUUGCUUCUCUCUUGCACCACAAGGUGAUUCUCAACUGAUCAAAUGGGCAAGAGACCUCCCAUGGACGAGGUGGAGGAGUAUAAAUACUCCCCAUCAAGACCAAGGGCUGGCCAACUAUUUUACACUAAAAACGGGAGCACCGGACACUGGUGAUGUUGCACUGGACGCACUAUACCGAGCGUCCGGUGACCCAUUAACAUCUAACUGUACUCUCUCUGACAGAGCACCGGACGCACCCUCAUUGGGUCCGGUGGCACCGUCCGGUGUGAGGGUGAAUUUACACCCUCCUGGGUAUGGGACCGGACGCUCCCCGACGAGUCCGGUGCUAGCGUCUGGUGCCCUGGUCUACUGUAGACCUCCCUGGGUAUGGGACCGGACGCUCUCAGGUGAGUCCGGUGCGAGCGUCCGGUGCAUAACCCUAGGCACCCAGUUGUUGACGGUCCUUAAGUAUCAAAUUUAAUUAUCAAAUAAACAAAGAAAAGGAUCCAAAUGAAAUCAACAUCUAGACUUAGGGUUUUAUUUGACAGAAUUCCACGAGUUUUGGUGUUUGUCUAUUUCUGCAGGGGGUUAUCAGGAAAUACGGAAGAAAGGCCCACAUGUCGGGAUUACAUAGAGAUAUCAACGCACCGCGUAAUUUUCUAUCAUCUAGAAGACUCCAGAAGCCACGGGAACGAACGAGAAGGCAAACGGGCCCGGGGGCAGGGCGCCCGCCCACCCCCCUUGGCGCCCGCCCAGGUGUUUCCACCAAUCACAGAAUGGAGUCUGCCAUUGCAAAGAUCUCGUCGAGCUGAUCGAAAUGCAUAUAUUAUUUGCUAUAUUUGGAGUUCGGAAUCAAGAGAUAUUAAUAAAAGAAGGACUCCACAUAAAAGAGCUGCGGGAUUAAUUGGGCCCAGAUCAGAUUUUGGUCCAUUAAGGCCUAUGUGCAUUUUAAUGAGAUAGGGUGCAAAGUUUAGUACCACAUCGCCUGCUGAACCAAAAAUGCACAGAGGAGGAGGACUAUAUAAGCAAGGCCCCUGGCCCAUGGAGAAGACAUGAAGAAAUUAUCAUAGAGACUGAGGGGUGCCCUCGAAGGAAAACCUCUUCUCUAAUUAAUAUUUCUUUUAGGCUUAGCAAUCAAUGUAAGGUAGAAAUAGAUCUUCUAGUUUCUACUAGAUUGAGAGAGAUAGAGUGGAGGUGUAGAUUGGAGGAAGCUCGGCCUGUCGGUGUCUACUCCAAGCUUGUACCUGCGGGAUCAAGUUCUCCUAACCCGAAGCUUGCUCCUAGGAUUAUUCAGUAAUUCAACUUCUAAAUUCUAGUAAGUUCUUGUUUUAUUGUUCUUAUGGUUUAUGAGUUUACUUAAUCUCUUCGCGUAGAGUUUAGAGUAAUCAUUGCUGGCGUAAACGUGGUGUUUAGGCUGGGGUACUCAUAGAUAUUCCCUGACUAGCUGGACCGUGGUAGUAGUGAGGAACGUGACAAUUCCGAGUUACCUUUGCAGAUCACAUCUCGUUAGCAGGAAGGAUAGGGUUUAUAGGUGCGGGUUGAACAUCCUUUGUGGUGUCUAGAUUCCGUUAGCCUCCCCAUUAGAACAGUAGAUCAUCCUUACCAAGGUUAGAAGGAGACUACGGUUGCAGUCUUCUCUAUUUAUCACUCACAUCGAAAGACAUUCUUUGUGCCUAAAGGGAUAGUAGCAAUAGAUUUAGUUAGUCAGAUGCACCCUUUCUCCCAGUGGUAAAAAUAUAAAUACGAUACUCUGGAAAACCUCCCGGGUGAAAUGCUCACCGAUAUCCGUGCGCUUGCGGAUCAUUUCCUUAUUGCGUUACCAAAUAUCAACAAGCAUUUCUGGCGCCGUUGCCGGGGAGAAAGACGGUUUGCUGAGAUAACUUUGAGUCUUGCUAUUAUCUUGUAUUAUACUUUUAUACUUUUAUUCUUUUAUCUUUUUAUUUUUAUCUUUAUGGAUAACUCAAAUUCCAUACCUAUUAUUGAAUUCUUUGCACCUUCGGAGACCAGCCAUAGACCAUGGGAGUCAACACGUCCUGCCCCUAAUUAUGAUCUGUGUCCGGAGUUGAUUGCAAUAGGUCAAAACCAACCCUUUUCUAUAGCCGAGGUCCUAUCUUUUAAUCAAGAAGAUAAUGCACUUUUAGCUACACAUAGGGAAUCUUUUAAUCCUUCUAUAAAUUAUGGUUCAGACCUAGCCCUACAAGACCAUGUUUUUCCUAAAUAUUUUCACAUUGGUCUUAAUCAUAUAACCUUUGGUAGAGUCUUUCUUUCUUUAUCUAUUAGUAAAGGAAGGUAUGUCUUCAAUCGUAGACAUCCUUCUUGCACUAGUCUUCAUAGAAAAAUCUUAGAGAUAGAGAAGGAAUCAUCUCCCAUACAAGGAGAGGAAGUUUUAAUAGCCGAUUUCCAAACAUUUCAAUCCCAUAAUUCGGCUAUCCAACCCAUCCUUGAGUUUAAUAAUUUCUACUAUGCCCUUUCUCUUGAACCUCCCGAUAAUCCUAUGAAUCUCUCUAGACAUCCCAUGCAUAAGAAGGAGGAUCGAGAAGAACAACAUCAAUGGCUAGAGGGCAUUAAAAAUCCAUGUGCUAUCACCAUUGAAUGGAUAGAUAAAACAAACUUAAGAGACAAUCCUAGAGGAAUUUUAAGCAUUCAUGAAGAAUCAUCCUUGGAGUUUGAGAAUGAGAGAAACAACAGUGAACAUGGAAGUUAUUUCAUAAAUACCUUACCAAGUCCUUGCUCAUAUAAAACAUCUCCCCAAUCAAUUUGUCUCUCCAUCCUUACCACAUUUGAGAUCUCCAACCCCCUCUUCCUCUUCAUUUAUAAAAACUUUAAAAGGGUGGUUGUCGAUGCAUAUGUCUAUAAUAAAUAUUACAGAUCUCGUUGAGUUCAUCUUGAUAUAGGUAGGUGUUGGAGGGCAAACCACUUCACCAACAUAAAUUGAUGGUUUCCCAAAGCUUAGCGUCCUUGAACAAGCACUUAUCAGAUCGUAACAUGAACUUCUAAUUAUUUCCAACAUUGCCUUGUGUAUUGAGCAUAUAAAGAUAAUUGUAGAAAUAUUCCUUCGUGUAUUCUUGCCACUAACCUUUCCAGGAUUGGAGCAAGAAGAUCGGAUGAAUGACAAGCACAAGGUAUGUCCAACCAACCAUCACACAACAUUGAAUUAAAUUCAUCCAAACUUGAAUUUUCCAAAAUUCAAGCUUGGGGGAGUACUUUACAAAAACAUCAUUUGCCAUGUUGCUAUGUUGGUUGUCCUUACCUUUGAGACAUGCUCAAUUUGUUAAAUACUAAUUACACUACUUCAUCUCCACUUAAGUAGAUCUCUAUAAAUGCUCUCAUGCUACCUUUAUUUGCUUUAGUAUAUGUCUAGGUUUGGAAUAGUUUCAUUUAUCUCUUAAUUAAGCAUGGUGCUUAGUUUAGGAAUGAUGAUCUUACUUCCAAGGGAUUUUAAAUUAAGCAUGGUGCUUAGGUUAAAAUGCCCUUCUAAAUCAAAUUAGACAUGGUGUCUAGGUUGAUUUUUAAGUCGAUAGUAUGCUAUAGUAGAUAUGGGAUAUUUUGUUGGACUAACCCCUGCAAGAAAACUUUCAAUAUCAACCUGGGAAGUCCUGAGAUAAACUCGCAUUGGAGAUGAAGAAGGUGACACAUGAAGUUUAACAAUUUGCACAAGAAAGACGUGGCUCAUAAGAGAUGAUUCAUGGAGGGUGCCACAAACACGAUGCACAACCGCUAAGAAAGGAAAGCUUCCACAAGGUGAUACUGUACCGUCACUCUUCAAGUAAGGUAACACCUUAAGGUACUUGACUAUCGCUUUUAUAAGCUUCUCCUUGGUUCUAGCAUUCACAUAAAUGAAGAGACAAACAUGUAUGAUUUAUAACUCUAGAUUAACCAACUCAAUUAAUUCAACAUGUUUAGUCCUUUAAUCUUUGUUCUUAGUACUACCUUCGUGAUCCCACGCUCCUAAACAUAUAAGCUAAUAUUUUGCACAUUCAAUAUUUGGAAGAUAUAAACAAAACAUAAAUAUAGAUAGAUUAUCUUUCCAUUAGGUUGAGCCAUCUGAUCUGACAAAUGUUUCAAAUACUACACUCAUGAUCUUAUUAUCCAUCAACUUUGUCUUGCUCACUAUGCUUAAGGUUAGAGAAGAACAAAUACACUUUUGGUUCUGUUGGUAUUUUCCACCAACAGAGCCCAUGCACUUGAUCUCUGCCUUGUCUCUAUGAACAGGUACACUUCAAGCAAAACAUGGAGGAGUUUUACAACUCCCAGACUCCACCAAGUGAAGGACCUGGAUCUAUGAGCACAAACACACUGAGCAGGAUAUUGCCAACACCAUACUUCAAAAUGCUGGGCAAAGAAGAACAUGGGUGACACCAUAUCAAGAGGUGCAGACGUCAAGGUCCACACCUAAUCAAUUGAUGCACCUAAAGGAUGAACAUGGUGGAAAGUCUUGUCCAGAAGACUUAAAACAUUGGAUCCUUGUCGGGAGAGGUCAACAUUGUCGACUCAAGUCACCUUUCUUGAUCAAGAAGGACGACCCUGGUGUUCCAAGCAUCAAGUGCGCAAUCAAUGGAUACUCUUUUCAGAAGACACUCUACGACACCGGAUCUGACGACAACAUAAUGACCGCAGUCACUUAUCAGCUCCUGCAUGGAACCAUGCCCCUACAACCAAUAUACAUUCAGCUCUAGAUGAUUUUCAGGUCAUUAACAUGGGAGAAGACGAGUAUGAUCCACCCACCAUCCUUGGAAGACCGUUCCUCAAACACUAUCAAAGCCAUCAUCUAUAGUGGAACCAGAGAAGUCCACAUGCACUUCCCCUCUGAGAAGGUACGCCACUACUUUAAUGAUUCUAACUAUAUAGUUGAAGACUCUAAGCAGGUCAGGACAAGAAGACGAUGCAACCGCAACCAGAGGAGGCAAAUCAUCAAGAACGGAUGGGUAGACUACGAAGGAGAAGUGAUAAGGUCUGAAGACAUACAAUUUAACAGAACCGUCCUGAGGAGACCGUAGCACCGAGUCAGAAAGAGAAGAUAGUUAUACACGAAGAGAGGCGCCGCCGAAAUCACCGACUUCGCCACCUAGCGAAUCCCAGGACGACUGAGAAAACAGAGAGUCCCGUUCGGAGGACAUAAAAAUGCCGAACGCCUUGCCAAGAGGUAAACUUGGUAGUUACCCUUUCCUUUCAAUUAUUCAAUUAUAAUUUGCUUAGUUAAUCAGGUUCAUGCUAUCUUGAAAAGAAAAUAAAAAUGUUAAGUAGUAAGCCCCAUGUGAGUAUGCUCAUGGCAUAAAACUCAUAAGUACAUUCACUGUGGUGGCAUAAACAUAAAAUAAAUAUGUUUUCAUCUUACAAUAAAAAUAUAAAAAUAAUAAGUGUAUGAUCCUGCUAAAUAAAUAACAUUUAUUAAGGAAGCUCAACAUGAUGAAGGCUAGAUAUUUAUGCUAACACUUAAUUAGUUCCACAAGCUUUGUUGUCUAUUUGAGCUCCACAGAAUUUAAGAAUCAAGAAGACUAGCAGACGGAGGACAUUCUAAUCGCUGUCAGAAUGCUGCUGACUUUCAAAUACACCUCUGCCACCUGCUAGCUACAUCAAGAGAAAUUACGUCAAAAUUCAGCUUGGGGGAGAGCACCCCCAUAUAUCUCGCUAAGUAUUUCUACCUAUCUUUAUACUUAUAUUAUGUUAGAAUAUUAAAAUACAUAAACUAUGAAAAACUAAAUAAAGAUUUUGUGCUUAUAUAUAUCUUUUGCUUAGUAUGUUUAAUAAAUAAAUAAAGUGGCUAUGCUAGUCUGAAUCUUAAUAAUAAAACUCUAGCAUGGAUAUGAUGAAUAGUUGCUCUGCCUAAUUUGCAAUUUUGAAGUUCUCUCUCAAGUUUAGACAUAACUGUUAUAAUUUAAAGCUUGCUCUAGAUCUAAACUUGUGGGAUGAAAACUUGAUCUGAAAUCUAAGUUGUUAACGGAUAUGAUAUGGGAAGGUUGAGCUGCUGUUUAUCUGUUCCUAGAGAUGCUAAAAUUCUGGAAAAUUUUAUCUUGAAAAAUCUUUAAAAUAUUGCAUGAUGAGUUCCUGUAUGAUGAGAGUUUAAAUUCCUACCACAGCCAUAUAUACAUGCUUGCUAGACUUUGAGCCACACAUUUACUAUUUACUGCUUAUGAGCGUUGAGUGUGGUCAAGCUGUGUGGACCCUUAGGAGCUUGUCAUGUGGUUAAAUCAAGAUUCACUUGCACGUUCACUCAUAUAUGCUACUUCUACUCUGGAAGUACCAUCCACAUAUAUCCAUCCAUUUCCAUCUCCAGAAUCACCCAAAAAUAUUCUACUCUUAAUCCGGGAGAGAAUAGUCAAAAAUAUUUUCCUAUCCCUGUUAUUCCCUGUGAAAUAAAUGCUCCAAAUAUUUUGGUUACUACCACUUGCUAUUUUAUCUCAAGAGAUGAGUGCUCUGAAAAAAAAGAGAGAAAGAAAAGAGAAGAAAAAAAAAUAUAAACGAGGAAAUAAAAAGGGGCAAGUGCCCGGAACCUCGAAAGAAAGAAAAAGUGAGACGAGAGGUAAAAAUGGACAAGUGUCCGACAGUAGAAUUAGGGGUACAAGAUACCCACCUGAGAGGAAAGAAAAAGAAGAGCAUCUCAUUCUACUCAUAAAGUUUCAAAAAGCAAGGAAGGUAUGUAUCCCCUCAAAAGAGCAAAAGUAGAAUUAGACUUUCACCAUUGUUAUUACCAUCAUCACCAUACACCAUUCAUUCGCCACACAUGCAGAUCUUGAUUUGACUUAUUGAUUUGUUUCUCUGGAUCCAUGGCUUGACUAUGCAAUAAAUGUCUUGUAAGUAUGUAUUAGCUGUCUCCCACCUAUGAGCUCCAGAUAUCAAGCCUUAUUAGAGUAGGGUGAGAGAGAAGGCAAUGUCCCUAUGCCUUAUACCAUAAAUACCACAUAUCUUGAGAGAAGGCAUAUAUCAUCAAUGCCUUGGUAAGGAUCCAGAAAUACCACAAAAGAGAGAUAUGAGAGAGUCAUACAAGGAAUCUCUGAGUUUUAUUUGAAAAUCUGCAAAAAAAAAACUCCAGAGCUAUAGCUGAUCAAGAAUAAGAGACAUGGCACUUGGCUAGACUGUUCUAUCUUUUAACUACUCAAGACAAAAGUGACGGUUACAAGUCCCAUGGUGGAAGGUAAAGUAAGUAAGUUUUAGUUCUUGACAGUUUACUCUAACUCAGAGAUGAGAUUUUAUUUAAAAGCAUGUGUACUGUCAAAUUUUUAAGAUAAUGCAACAACUUCUAAUCCAUUGCUGAGUCUAUCCUUGCUUAGGGACGAGCAAGAGGUAAGCUUGGGGGAGUUUGUUGACGGUCCUUAAGUAUCAAAUUUAAUUAUCAAAUAAACAAAGAAAAGGAUCCAAACGAAAUCACCAUCUAGACUUAGGGUUUUAUUUGACAGAAUUCCACGAGUUUUGGUGUUUGUCUAUUUCUGCAGGGGGUUAUCAGGAAAUACAGAAGAAAGGCCCACAUGUCGGGAUUACAUAGAGAUAUCAACGCACCGCAUAAUUUUCUAUCAUCUAGAAGACUCCAGAAGCCACGGGAACGAACGAGAACGAGAACGCCCGCCCAGGUGUUUCCACCAUUCACAGAAUGGAGUCCGCCAUUGCAAAGAUCUCGUCGAGUUGAUCGAAAUGCAUAUAUUAUUUGCUAUAUUUGGAGUGCGGAAUCAAGAGAUAUUAAUAAAAGAAGGACUCCACAUAAAAGAGCUGCGGGAUUAAUUGGGCCCAAAUCAGAUUUUGGUCCAUUAAGGCCUAUGUGCAUUUUAAUGAGAUAGUGUGCAAAGUUUAGUACCACAUCGCCUGCUGAACCAAAAACGCACAGAGGAGGAGGACUAUAUAAGCAAGGCCCCUGGCCCCUGGAGAAGACAAGAAGAAAUUAUCAUAGAGACUGAGGGGUGCCCUCGAAGGAAAAUCUCUUCUCUAAUUAAUAUUUCUUUUAGGCUUAGCAAUCAAUGUAAGGUAGAAAUAGAUCUUCUAGUUUCUACUAGAUUGAGAGAGAUAGAGUGG
rnacentral:lncRNA from 1 species